rnacentral:lncRNA from 1 species
GCUGCUCAGCCAUAUUCCGCCGCCGAGGAUGGGGAUCGACAGGACGAAGGUGAGGAAGUUCACGGCGCCUAUUAGGUGGUUGCUCGUUCUCAUGGCUGCGGCGGUGGCGGUGGCGGUGGUUGUAAAUUUAUUUGAAAUUUAAUUUUGUCUUACAAGAGAGAGAGAGAGUACUGCAGUAUUUAUUGGGGAGCAGAUAUAUAAUCGGAAAAAAGCUUUGGGGGAAAUCAAAAUUUGUGGGAAACAGAGAUAAGCAUGCUUUUGUACACAGUUAAUGACUAAAUUACCCUCUGCAGAAUGAGUGAUUUACUGAUUUUAUUUAAAUUUUGGUUUAAUGGCACUUUGCCCCCCAACUAUCGUGUGUUUUGCACGUAAUAUCUGGACAAAAAACAUUUACAACAUUUUACCUAAACUGUGCACGGUGCCUCCGUUUUACCAAUCCAGUUCAUUUCUCGUGCGUCACAUGUCCAUUCACUUCAAGUCUUUUAGGGCAAAAAGAAUAAAAAACCGAGGGGAAAUAGAAGUACGAAUAAAUUUGCAGUGAAUGGACGUUUAUACCCUAAAAAACCCAUAUGCAGACGAGAAAUGAACCGAAUUGGUAAAAUUGAGGCACCGUGCAACAAUUUAACGAGUUCAGGUAAAAUUUUGUAUAUUUUUUUGUUAAGGGGGUAACGUUAAAAGCACGCGAUAUUUUUGGGGGCAAAGCGCCAUUAACCCUUAGAUUUUUGUUGAAACAAACUUUUACAAGGAAAUGACUAGAUUAUCCUCUGAAAAUUGUUGUAUCCAACAAAUUCAAUGCAAAUAAUAAGUGUGUCCCUGAAAAUCGAGCAUAUUUCCUGGAAGUAAAAUAUGGAACUAAAAAGGAUAUUUUCAAAAAUUACAAUUAUUGCCUAUUAAAAACCACUCAAAUGUUUGUGACCCCACCAUACAAAAAUAGUUGCACAUGCAUAUGAGUUUCCCCCAUGCAAAGAAGGUCAAGUGGUCGGUGGUUAGAAACAGUGGGUCCUAUUAAGAAAUCAUUUUAAAUUAUUACUAUGUUGAAACUCUUGCGACAAUGAUCAAAAUUAAUAAUCUACUCUUUUUUUUUAUAAUUAAAUUAAUAAUCUACUUGAUAAAUAAUAAUACUAUUCAAUAAUUUGAUAUGAAGUUAUCAGCACUUUCAAACCAUAGUUUUGCAAAGACUUUAAGGCGUGUUUGAUGCCUUACAACCUUAAAAAAUUUAAAAUAAAAAAAAAUAUUUAGUAAAUAUUGCGUUAUUCAGUACAGUUUUGGUAUACUGGACAUCAAUACCGUACACCGUACUAAUACCGAAAUUCAAAAAUAAAAUAUCAGUGUUGAUUUAAAUUGUAAUUAAAUUGUACAAUCUUAUUCGAAUCUUAAUUGAAUUAUCAGACUGGACUUUAAAAAAAAUUAUCUAGGCCUCCAUCAAUAGUUAGAAGCCCAAUUUAGAAAACAUAUAUUAUUUCUGGCCCAAAUUUAUCUAUAAAUUACAGAAAUUCUAGGGCUUCAAAAUCCACAAUUCUGCCGCACAAAGCCUAAUCUGAGAUUCACGGCAGAACAAGAAACUGAGAGACACACAAAGCGGCGAGCUUUGGAGCUAUACGUGUUUGUUGUAUCGUUGAAAACUCGAGCAGUUGUCGAUCUUCUUAUGUAAGUUCUUGUAUUAACUGAAGCUUGAAGAUUUUCUAAAUCUGCUUUUUUUUUUUUGUUUUGUCUUGAUGAAGCUUUGUGAAUAAAUUUUGUUUUGUUGAUAUGGUGUUUGUAAUUUAGCCCCUUUUGGAUUUAUUUAUAUUAGAAAAGGCUGUGGAUGAAUUAUUUGCAGAAAUUGUUUAUUGUGCAUGCUAGGUGUUUGAUGAAUUGAUUUGUGGUAUUAUUAUUGUAAAAAGUCCAUCUUGGCAAAUCAGUUGAGCCCUUUUAAGAGCAAAUGAGCUGCCUUGAAUGCUAAUGGACUAAUAUUAAAUCUCUCUCUUUCUCUUAACUAUUUUCCGCUUCUUCAAAUCUGUUAAGUUUGCAUAUUAGUGGAGAUGAAACAUAUUAAAAAAAAUAUUAAAUAGUUGUUUGUUAAAAUUCUGAAUCUUUUGUAUGCAAGGUGUUUGAUGAAUUGAUUUUUUGGUGUCGAAUUUAUUUUUUUCUAGUCCAUCUAGGCAAGUCAGUUGAGCCCUUUUAAGGGAAAAUGAGCUGCUUUUGAAUGCUAAUGGACUUACAGCUAAAUCAUCUCUUUUUUUUGUUUCUCACCACUCACCGGAACACAGUAACCGGUAACCGCCGCCGGCUCGCAUCAACACCACCGCCGCUUCUGGCCGUCCGACGUCCUCAAUGAAUCCCCUAUUCAACUGAAAUCACGCGUUUCAGCGUUCGUCGUCCAAUUUUGACCGGAAAAGCGGCGAUCGAACGCUACUGCAGCGGCAAUUGAAAUUUGAGUCUUCAAUUUUAAUGUAAAUGGAUUUCAUCUCACAUUUACGAUCUAAAAUUGAGUGAAUGGUCCUUACACUGGGUUUUGGGCAGUUGAGAGUUGAGUUUGUUCCCUUCGGGCAUCGAUUUCUAAAUUUAUUCCCAAGCAAUCAGUUUUCUCUGUGGUGGAUUUGAAUAAUUGGAGUUGUUGAUGUGAACUGAGUAGUAUUGCCCAGCUAGGUGGUAUUGCCAUCGGAAGUGGCCCGGAAUUGUGCAUUCUUAUGGAAUUAACUGUUAGAUUAGAUUACAACAUUCUACGAUAGAUUAAGAUCGGUGGGAUAACCUUCUCAAUCUGGGCAGGUUGUUUUAUUCUACGUAAAUGUGGGCAGCUCGUUUUCUAGUUUAACAUUGGUUUUUUUUUUGGGACAUGUUUUUUUAUGUGUUAGGAGAUGUUUUCAGUAUAUUCAAACGUCUAAUUUGGCGUGCUAUUAAUUUUACAAUUACAAUAUAUGUAAAAUGUUGCAAUUUUACGAUCGGAUUAUUGAACCCCCUCUCUGGUUUUACUCAAAGUCUCGACUUUGUGUACCUUGCGUGCGAAUCAAAUGAAUUCUUCUUCAUUUUCUUGACAUUUGUGCUUGAUGGCUAGAGCUUAUAGUUGUUGCCUUGUUGGUAAAUUACGAUAUUUUUUAUCUCCCUUAAUGGUGUCUUUGAUCUGGCAUAGUUUGACGAAUGAAAAGGUCGCUCGGGUCCCACUUUUCGAGGUACUCUCUCGUCAACUCUCUUUUCUCUAAAAAAAUUCUUCUCUUUUCUCUCUUGUGAUAUGAUUAUGUCAAAGCUUAAUAUCCAUGGUGGACAAGGAAAAUAGGUGUUUGUCUUAAUACUGUGUCUACUUUUCGUCUUAUCGUUUUCUAUGGAACAGAUAAUGGCAGCAAGAUCGAAAGGAAAAACAGCCGAAGCAAAAGCCCUAGCGGAGCCCAUGUCCACAAUAGUUUCUCGGCUCCAAUCCUGUUUAAUUGAAUCCAAUUCUCAAGGAAUCCUUUCAGGGAGCAGCGUUCUUCUUGCAGCACACGAAGAACAAACGGAGCUUUUCAACCACGCGUGUUUCGGCCGUCUCGUUAUCACCACACAGAAGAACAAACAGUGGUUUCAACUAUGCCACAAGGAAGCUUUUUACCUCUGCACCGUAAUGAAAUGCAUCAAGAUUGUAGGUCAAAAUAGCUGCGUAAAAAAUGAGGAAGAGCUGUGGGAUUACAUGUCGUCCAAGAGAGUGAAUUUCCCGGUUCUGUAUAAAGCGUAUUCGCAUCUUCGUACGAAGAACUGGGUGGUUAGGGCGGGGUCUCAGUACGGUGUUGACUUUGUUGCCUAUCGGCACUACCCGACUUUAGUGCACUCUGAGUACGCUGUUAUAUCCUCUUCUACAGAAGAAGGAAACGAAAAUGGACGUUUGAAGGUUUGGUCUGAUUUUCAUUGCACUCGUCGUCUCUGUGGCAGUGUUGCAAAAACGUUGUUGGUUCUCCACAUUAGCAAAAACUGUAACGAUUGUGACGGUUGCUAGUUAUUCCCCUUGGAAUAUUAAUUAUUACAGCGUCGAGGAAAGAAUCGUUGCCAGGUGGAAUCCCGAGCAAAGCCGGGAGAAUUGUACGGUUGCAGAGAAGGAAUCGUGUAAGUCGUCAUAAGCUUAACUUAACUCCUGUUUAUUGUACCAGUUACUAUGUUGUAAGAUUUCGCCAUCUUAUAUAAAUAAGCGAUUGCUGCAGAAAUUGGUCUGUUGAUUUUGGGCAGGAAUCUGAUGCAUGCACUGUAUCUAAGUAAAAGAUUUGCCAGUACAUCCAUAUCAUGUACUAAGUAUUUUAGAUUUUUUUAUUUUACUUUUUAUUUUUUGUUUUUCAUGUGCACAUGUGAUCAGGAAAAAAUAAACAAUAGGGCAAAUUAUGGAUACCUCCCUUAUUGAGAUUCAAUGGAAAAUGAGCAAGAGAUCCAAAUAAAUGAUUAUUCUUUUCACAUUAAUUCUCUCCAAAAAUCAAACAACUGAUAACCAAAUAUAAUAGAAACCUCGAUAUAAUAGCCAACCAACAUAAGUUGAUAAUAUAUAAACGAAAAUAAGUUACAGAAAAUAGUGGAAAAAGAAAACAUAAGAAAGAAAGAGGCAAUCGAUAACAAGUUAAAAAAAACAAGGUAAAAAAGGGAAUAUAUACCAAUGAAAGAGGGCAAUUGAUAUGUACUCGAAGAGCCUUUCCAAUUAUCUGAGUAUCAGAGGAGGAAAUCUUUCGUCUCUUUCUUUUUGCCUAGCAUCAAUAAUCUCAAUUCAAUAACUCGUAACAAAAAUAAGGAGAAGACAAGGAGAAAAUAAAAGAAAACAAAUCAAUAAAAAAGUUCAAUCAAUAUGUAUUCCAAGAGUUAUCCAAUUGUUUGAGCAUAUGUGUGUGUGAAACUUAUUCUUGCCUCUUUGUUCAAAUGGAUAUCAAGACUCUCCAACUCAACAAUACCUUAUUCCCAAAAUAAACGAAAUAAGGGAUAAACAUAAUGCAAAAAUAAACCUAACCUUUUGCCAAUGUUUCUAGUCUGAAUGAAAAUCCUUGAAACUUUGUUCUUGCAAAACAUAUAACAUAAAACAUAAGAAAAUAGGCAAGUUCAACAAACAAUCAAGUGACAGAAAAUGAUAAUGGAGAUCCCUUGAGAGCUUAAGUACAAUACAAAGAAUAUGAACGAUUAACUUUAUAAGGAACUAUAACGGAGACGAAAUAAUACCGGAAUAGUCUUGACUAUAGGUUUGUUACAAGUCAGCCUUCCCCUGUAGCAACCAAACAUCUUCAAGCAAUUAUAAAAAAAAAAUACAUUGCAAAAUCUUAGUGAGUAUCAUCAAAAUUUAAACAAAGUAAAUAGUUGCAAAAGAAUAGUCAGUAUCAUCAAAAUUGAGCACUGUAUCAUAAUACAAAUGCACAAUCACUAACUCAAAUGUAGAAUCCAGAGAAAGAGCGAUGACUUGAUUUUGCAGAAAUCGUGAAUCAACUUAACACUUCUAUGAAGAAUUGAUUCACAUCAAAACUCAACGGCCUCGUUGUCCCUCUUUCGUCAAUGGAAAAAAAAUACCUUGCUUUGUCAUGUCCACCACAACUCAAAAGUCAAUUAAACUCUUACAUGGAAACUCAUCAACCGCUCAACAUUCACUGCCAUAGUUGCCGUGAAACUAAAAAUUUAGGGAAAACGUUCCUAAUCCUAUUCUUAAAUUUUUUUUGUCGAAUUUAAAUGUUCUUUAAAACCUAGUUUCAAAUUAUUAAAAGAUAUGCGAGAGAGACAAAAAUCGAUUGCCGUCAAACUGAAAAAGGGGGAAAACAUUCCUAGCCCUAACCUCUUUUUGCCGAACGGAAAUUGUCUGCAAACCCUAGUCGCAGGAAGAUUGAAACGAUUUCGCGGGGGGGGGGGGGGGAUAGUUGGGGGGGGGGGAAUUUUAAGAGAAAAUGGAGGAACUAACCUGCAUAAUUUUUUACUCAAUAAACUCUCCCCUUCUUUAUUUAUUUAUUUAUUUAUUUAUUUAUUUUAUCUCUUACGGUAAUUCAACUUGAAGGUAUAAAUGCCCCUAAAGGUUUGGUAAUUACAUGCAACUUAUGAAAUGUCCCAACAAUCUAUAUUUGGGACACUUAUAAAAUUAUGUCCCUAACAAAAUGUCGUAAUAGAUGAUUUUUGUUGUAGUGACACCCUUACGUAGUUUACAUGUGCAGCAUAGUUCUUAAACAGUUCCAUUACAAGACACGUCAUCACAUUAAUACAAAAUAUAUAGACAGUGUGUUUUUUUUCUUUUCUUUUUUUUUUUCCGAAAACACCAAAAAAACUGCGAAAUAACUCCACAUACGCGCGUUGCUCGUAAAAAUCUUUAAAAUCCAAAGGCUGCGACUUCUCCAUUCUUGUCUCUCCAUAAGGCUCGUCGUUAUCGAUCCUUUUGUUGUGCCUAAAAGUAGCACAAGCAACUGUUAGAGUAGGUGACCAAUAAGCCAACUAACUGUUGUGUUUCCUCACUCUACUCGUAAAUAAUCUAUUUCAUAUUAAUGGUAAAAUACCUUUUGGCAUUCUAUAUCUCUUAUCCCAUGCAAGCAGCAUAGAUAUAGUCCUAACGAGUUACUCUAUUACUGUGAGUUGAUCUAGUAGAAUCAUGAGAUAACUCAACAAUGUAAUGUAACUGUUAAACCUUGUUCCUAGUCGAUGGCUUACGCCAAUAAUGAGGAUACCGGCCUUUCCCUUUUGAUACUAGCACUUAGUGUAUGUGUACUGCGUCUCAUCAGUCAUCGGUGUUGUGACAUCGGCAUACUUGAGUGGGUGCUCAUAUUAGAUGAGUUCACUGAACUCCCUCGCCUAGAAAUAAGUGGUUCUCAAUCAUCGAGUAAUAGGUUUCUAUGAUAUAGUUGUGCACCAUUUGUCCUUAAGACCCAGACAUCACCGUGACUUCACUAGAGGACCGACUGUAUCGUGACCUAUCCCUGAGUCCCACCGCGGACCGCUCCAAGUGCCAACGUUCGUGUAGUCCGAAAUCUAGUGUGAAGUCUGUGCAUUGUAGUAGGGGAUUCGAGCGCUUGAGCAGUCAUGGAUGUCCUGUGUGUUCUGUUGGUUUGUAAUCCAUGGAAUCUCCAGCCGGAGUUGAUAGUGGGGUGAUUAGGGAAAUGUGUUUCUCUAAGUCACACACGAACGGAUUAUAACACCUAGAACGUUCGUAUGGUUAUUGAACUUAAUAAGAGGUCUCGGUGGACCAAUGCCUCUAGUUCAAUCGGGACAUUUGCUGCGAAGGGAUCGUACUGUACGUUAACUAUAUCACAAAGGUUCUUGCAGACACUUCAUUUGUAUCUAGGGAAUCAUGAUGCGUAGUUGCUAGACGCCAAUCUUGAUUCGUUGGGCACCGAUUUGAUCGGGGAUACGGUAAAAUGAGUUUUACCCUUAUCGGGACUCUUGGGAGGAGUUCGUAUAAGAACAAUGUGUUGUUCGAAUCACAAAGAGUUGUGAGCCCACGGCUAGCUUACACCUGAACCAUUGAGGGUCACACUUCUCGUGUAACAUGGAUCCUUGAAAAACAACAAGCAUAGAUUAAUGUGUUAAUCUUUGCGUAGUUGGAUGUCAAUAUGAUUGAAUCUAAGAUUCGUAAUUGUGGAUUACGAGUUGGAAUAAACGGAGAGAAAGUGAUAUGCGGAAAUUUAGUGAACUUUCUAAAUUGGGAAGUUUCCCGAUUUAGCAUGUCCACUAAAUUAGAAGUUUCCAAUUUUGGAAAUUGAAAAUUUGAAAGAGGCACUCGUAUCGACGAGGACUUUAUGCUCGUCACAAAUAUAAUUUUGUUAUAAUUUUGUGGACGAUCGUUUGUAAGAAACGAGGCCGACGAAGGGGCGGGCUUAAUGGAUCAGUGGGUCAAGCCCAAUGACUUAAGCCCAUGAGGGUUAUGAUCCCUAGUAUAAAUACAACUCAUAUGAUGAGUUGAGAUCAGCUUUUGACAGCCCCAAACCCUAGCCGCAUGAAGCACGGCCGUCCUCCGCCUCACGGUUGCAGCCCCGCCGCUGCACCGCCGCACCGCCGUCGCGCCGCCGCCGGUUUCUUCUCUUUUCUUCCUCGUCUUUAUUCCCGUUGUUUUUCUAACUCUUCUGUAUCUAGUGCUGCAGUUAGAGUGGGUCUAGUUGUACGAGGUGAAACCUAAUUGGAGAGGAAGAACGCAACUCCACCACCGCCAGCCCCGUACGCGCCGUCGCCGUUGCCACGCGCCGCCACCGCUGCACCUCAUGUGCCGCCGUCGAGAUCAGAUCGGACCAGCUGCUGUUCGGUCGGUUCUUCGGAGCCUUGGAGUUGUUUAAUAGCAGCUUGUACGUGUCUUAGUUUAUAGAUUUCGAUUCGUCGAAAUCUCACGCUUCAAGAGGUAAAAUCGAAAACCCCUGCGAAUUAAUUCAUAAUUGGAUUAUGUGAAUUAAUUUGUGAGCAUGACAAUUAUAUGAAUAAUGUAUGUUUUCGAUUUCAUGAUGUCGUAUGCAAGCAUGCUCGUCUUUGUUUUUCGUUUUAUUUAAUUUCGAUUAAAAUAUGAAAAAUUACCAUGUGUAUGGCGGAAGCGUUAAGGUACGUUCAAUUAAUUGAUUUAUGCAUGUGAUCGAACAUUGAGUUCGAUUAAAUUUUUGUUUUUCGCUGCGUAUACAUGCAUCGAUCCCCAACAGCAACCACAUAGAGUGUGACGAGGAUUAUCAAGAUAACUAUGUUAAUAACUGACACUUUUCUCCAGCUCUUCUUCAAGCUAGCUACUACCCCAGCUUUGCAAGAAUCGCACCCGUAGCAUAGUUGCUCCUGGUCGUUGCUCCAUUUUGUGCAAUCUGUGUCGGGCCCCACGAGGCCUCCACCUGGCGUCCACACCGUCUCGUUUAUGUACACGUAGCCGCAUGAUGUAGGCGGUUUGUAACAUCCAGACUAGCACAUGUAAAACCAAUGUUAAGCAUGCCAAGCUAAGAGUUAUAUUUGACUUGCCAAAAAAUCUAGAUUUGCUAAAAAAAGUCUUCAUGUUAUAAUAUUAGCAAAAGAACCCCAUGGUGCAUUUUGUUUUAGCACACGGCCCCCCUAAAUGGUGUGUUUAAGGGGGUAGUCUGCUAGUUAAAAAAUAGCAUCAUAAAUGAUUUUUGCUAAUAUAUACAUAACACGUAAUCAUAGGGAUGCUAAAUGCAAUAAAUUACCCCGUGUUAUCCUAUUAAGGCCUCGUGUGGUUGUCACAAUGGAAUAAGCCAAGAUAUACACAAUCUUUUUAAAUUCCGGAUUGUAUAAUUUGACCAGCGGGUCCCAUUAAGUCAAAAUAAACAGAUAAAGAGCAUGGACGAAACCAAAUAAAAGCCCGUUAAUUAAUCAUGGCACAAACGAGAACUAGUUUCGAGAAAUAGAUACCGAGUGCAUAGAAGCACGCGAUAAGCAAAAAUAGUAUUAUAUGUUAUAUGCUUUCAAAAACUGUGUCGUUCCAAUCCGCAUCUCCCAUUGUUUUCUUUUCCAUUUAAUUUUGAAGCAGCUCGACCGCGACACGCCAGCUUGAUUUUUCCUUUUCAUUUAAUGUGCUUGUUCCUAAACGACGUCGUUUAGCUGCCUCACACAUGGCCAACAAUUGUUGACCUCCGCCGCUUCCAUGCCCGUCACCGCCGUCGCUCUGUUCGAAGCCCACCGCCCCUGCCGCCAACGUCACUUCCCACCUCUUUUUCAUCCAAUCGCUGAUUUGUCCCUUUCCAAUCACAUCCGAAUUGGAUAACUCAGGAAUUGUAGAGUCAUAAAAUUUUACAAAGACGAGUUCCAACCGUGAUUGUUGGAAGGGCAGGACUUCCGCUAGAGCUCCACCGAACAAGAAGAUUCAGUCCAUCAAUUCUUCAAUAUGUUAUUGUUUUAAUUGUUUUUCUUCUAAUAAAGCUCGGUGAUGGUCGACGCUGUUUGUGUCUAACUUUGUUCACUUUUUUCCCUUUCUAUAAAAUUUUGGGUCGAUGUUGAUUUCGAGUUCCUCUUCGGGCAAGGUUAGCCCUGACAUUAUGUGAAAUAAAUUUCCAUUUUUUGUGAUCUUUACAUGAAGAUCGAUGAUUUUCUGUGAUGUUUGCUGAUGGGUAGAGUCAUGUUGGUCGUGUGCAGACUUGGGUCGAUGGGAGCUGUUGUUACUGGUAAAGGCCAUGUUCCUAAUGGUCGUGCCUAUUGUUUUUUCGCUGUUUCAUUCGUACCUUUGUGUUGUCUUCUUUUGUCGGCCUGUAAUUUAUUUUUCUAAGAUACCAUUUCAAUAUUUUUUUUUUAAAUUAUAUGAAUGGAUUCAGAUUUCAAUGAUCUCAUUUUCUUUUCUAGGUUGCAUGUUGGAUCCACAGAAAACCAAAUUGUUACGAAAUCAACUUCUUGGCUACAUGAUGACAUUGCUCAGGUUAUAAAUCAUGAUUAGCACAUUUAUACAAUAUUUAUCAUAAUUAAUUUGUUGUUCAGUUGUGCAUGUAUUUGAUUCAUAUACUCACUUGAGAUUGGCAAUAGGGAGGGAUGUUCUCGCAAUUUAUUUGGCUAUUUUGAUUUUUUUUCUUUCACUAAAAGGUUUGAUUUCUCUGCUUCACUGUUUGUUGAAUCUUCAUAAUUACUUCGAGUUGCUAAUUCCUUCUACCUCAUAACGUUUUCGAGAUUAUGCAAGUAAGGCAUUCAUUUUACUGUUCUAAUUCUUUGCAGUCUACUCUACUGGCUCCUUUCUACUCAAUGAUGCAUUGUGCACAUACAGUUGCUUACAAACCUAUUUUAAACAUGUAACAGAAUAAACAACACCCUUACGUAGUUUCCAUGUGCAACAUAGUUCUUAAAUAGUUCCAUUACAAGACACGUCAUCACAUUAAUAUAAAAUAUACCGACAUUGUGUUUUUUUUCUUUUCUUUGCAGUCUACUCUACUGGCUCCUUUCUUGCAGCAGUCCCACUUUCAGUAAUUAGUAUUCUAAUAGAAGAUACGGAAGUCAACACCAGCUCGACCUUCAGUAAUUACUUGUGGAGUUGGUUGACUGUUAACGAUGAAAACCUAUUAUGAUUCUCUUUUUCCAAUUUUAAAUCAGAUUUCUUAUGAUUCUUAAUGUGAAUUUAGGUGGCCAAAGCUUUGCUUGAUUCUCGUUUUGGCAAUCUCACAGGUUCUAGUGCAGUAUAGUAAGAAUCGAUACAAUAUUGCAAUAUUGUAAGAAUUGAUACAUAAACUCAAAAUUCAAAUAAAUCAUCUUGUUUAUAAAAUAUAUCUUUGAAAAAGUGUUUUUGGGUGUAAUAAAACAGAGAAAACGCACGUCUUUUGGCCAUGAAAAAAGCAGGAAGAUGGGGAGUUAUACGGAUAUCAUCAUGUUUCACGAUUUUCUUCUCCUUUUUUAGUAUAUGCAAAAUUAAUCGAAUACUACCACUCUGUAUUUUGGUCAGAAAAAAGGAUAUAAUCCUUUGACCUAUUUGCAGCUUCUUACUGCAUGUUGUUUGGUUAUGUCGUAAUUAUAUUUAUUACUCAUUCUUAUCUCACUAUACAUCCUUACAUUUUGAAUGUUAGUCUACAUAUUUUUCAGGAAAGAUGACACUUAUUCAUUGUUAUGCUUCUUCUCUGUUUUUUACACUGUUGUAUAGGCUGCACGCACUGCGUGGUUUUUUUUACUAGCUACCUAACAUGAUUAUAUUUUUUUCCAAAAACAGAUUUAGCCGCUUGUUCAUGGAUAUAAAUGAGCCCUUUAGUUUGUAUUACACAACUUUAUUAUAACAUAUGCAAUUUUCUCUGUCUAGAUUUUCAUCCUGCAGGCAUUGGCGGUGAUGGUCUUUUCCGCUAUGGGACAAAUUUCCAUGAAAUUGAGGUUUGGGAACCAACACAUAAUUGUUGUAUCUUGAUUUUUCAAAAUGCUUGUCUACUGUGAGCUGAUGCUUUUUUGUUUCCAGAAAAUUGGUUAUGGAAACUUCAACCAGUUUUUCAAAGUCUUGAAGAGACUUGAUGGUUGCAUGUAUGCCGUAAAACAUAGCAUGAGACAGGAUGUAGAAAGGCAAUUUAAUUUAAUUUACUUGUAAUGAUCAGCUGCUUGUACUUACGCCACUCGCUUUUUGCAGCAAACUUAUGUUUAACACUGUCACAGGUGCAAGGCUUUGAUGGAAGUUCAAGCUUUGGCAGCUUUAGGUUUGUUACAUUAUUAUAUUCUUUUUAUUUUUAUCCAAAGAUUGAGAUUUUUAAACUUUUCGAUUCCCAUUUUUCUCAGGGUACGUACCACGAGAAUAUAGUUGGCUAUUAUUUUUCGUGGUUUGAAAACAAGCAACUUUACAUCCAAUUGGAGCUAUGCGAGCACAACCUAUCUCUCGAUAGAAUACCUAAACUAUUCACAGAAAGAGAAGCUUUAGAGGCAAUGUAUCAGGUGAAUGAUUUUGAAUCUAUAACGUGACGUAAUUGUAGCUGAUUAUUAACUUUCUGCGGUUUGUUUAUUUUAUCUUGAUGAGUUAAAUAUUUAAUUAGAAUUGUUACAGGCUGUUAGAUGGGAUUGACUAUGACCUUUCCCAGAGGAGAUUUUUCAUUGAAAAAAUAGCAUUCGUGUAGAUUGCUAAAGCAGUGCAGUUUAUACACCGGAGAGGAGUAGUCACUUGGACGUAAAGCCAGAAAACAUUUAUGUAAGAAAUGGAGUUUAUAGACUUGGUGAUUUUGGUUGUGCGACUGCCGUUGAUAAAAGCUGGCUAAUUGAAGAAGGUGAUGCUCGGUACAUGCCCCAAGAAAUCCUGAACGAGAAUUAUGAAAAUCUAGACAAAGUUGAUAUAUUCUCGUCAGGAGCUUCCAUCUAUGAACUUGCAAGAGGGUCACCGUUACCUGAAUCAGGUUCUCAUUUCCUUACUUUUAGGGAAGGAAAGCUGCCCCUUCUUCCUUGUCGUUCAAUCCCGUUUCAGAAUUUAAUCAAGCUAAAUUACCUUCUGCUUUUAUGAUAUGAAAAGUAGGUCUUAAUCGAGGAUAUCCAAUCUGUCUUUACUAUUAAUAUUUGAUAAUUUUGGUGAAAACUAUCGUGAUAAUUAUGUAAAUAUAACAUUCGUUUCUUUGAGUUAUAUAGACUUGGUGUAACAACCUACAGAGCAAAAUUAAAUAUUCGAGUUUUCAGAAAACUAUAUGCAGGGAAAGCUCGAGUAGAUCAUUUUAAAUGAUGUUAAUUAUUAAUUUAUAGUGAGCAUGUUCGAUAAAAGCGCUUUGCAUUGCUACAGAUUAACUUGCGUACUGGUAUUCGAUUUUCUUUUGAUUUGUUAAUCGUUCAGAUGAUGAUGGAUGCAGAUCCUGUUCGUAGACCAACAACCAAAGAAGUAGUUAAGAAUCCAAUGUUUUACAGGAUUGGAAAGAACAAAUAAAUCAAAAGUAAACAAGUAUUUAAUUAGGUUUCUAGCAAAACUUUGCCGCCGAGGUUCAAAUGUUUGAAUUUUUUUAGUCUGACAUUUUUUUGAUUCGGUAUUUUAUUGGAAAUAUGUUUUUAGAUGAUCAAUCUAUACAGCUACAUCAAACUGCAGGAUGUGUUUGAAGUUGUUUCCCUUUCCUUUGAAGAUUCUAAGUAGCUUGUCAAUAAUUUCGCCACUACCCGGUGAGUUUCAUGAUAAUUACCAUUGUUGUUCUGUUUUUGCUUUUCCAUUGUUACUACUGUUUUCUGUCGGUCUUUGAAUAUUAAUAUUCAAAUUAUGUGGUGAACAACAGGUUGUAGAGUUUAGACAAGUUAUAACUUUCCAAGUUCUCGUGUUAUUUAUCCUUUCGUACAAACGUCUCAUCAUAGUGUCUACCUUUCUAAGGGGAAACAACUCCUUCGUUUGUUUGCUCGCUAUUUUUUUUCUUCAUUGAUAAUAGUAGACUGUUAUUUUUGGUCGAUUAUUUAUGUUUUAUAUUUAUUUUUUUUGGAUGUAUGCACAUGGAUUCUGGUACCGAUUUUUAAUUUCCCUUGUCGAUUUUCAGUUGGUGUUUCAAUUUCAAUGGAAACACUUAGCUUUCAGAUCUGCUCGUGUGUGAUGGCUGCAGUGUGUGUCCUCGAAACUGCCUCGACCCAAGAACUGUUUAAAGGUAAUUUUUGUGCUUCUCGUAUUUUAUUCGAUGUUAGGAACAGUAAAAGUAAAUUAUGCCAUUUUACGUGUCUAUGGCUCUGAUGGGAAAAAUGAACUUCAAGGGCAGGCCCCCUUGCCGAUGCCGAAACUUCGCGGGGAUGCAUAUGGCUUUUAGUUUCAAUUUGUGAGAGUCAAUUCGUUGAAAGUAAUAAUCAUUGCGUGUUUAUUUGCUAUUUAUGCAUUGCCAAUUAACUAUGGGAGUUCGAUUGAUGUUACAAUUAAUUGUCCACAAUUUAGAAAUGACUCAAAGUUAGGUGCUAUCUAAUGGUAUAUAUAAUGGAGCCUGCUUUGUUUCUCUUGAACUUUUCAUAUAGUGAUGAGCCUUUUUUCUACUUCUUGCAUGCUUGUUUUAUUUCUGUGGGAGUUAGUUUGCUUCGGUUAUAAUUGGACCUUAAAUUAUUUAUGUUUAUAUCUUUAUAUUCGUGAUUUUUACAAGUAUUUAUUUAAUUUUGACUCGAUAGUUUAUUCUAAAGGUGUGAUGAUAGAAGUCACAACAUGGGCUUCAAAUAUAGGGUUUGAUCUAAUCAGAUGUUAUUUUCAUACUUCGACUGAAUUGAGGUUCAGUUCUUAAUUGAAGCCUUGCUAAAUAACACGAUAAAAAUUGCCUUUUGCCUGGUAUUUUGGCUUUGUAUGCAGAAAACAUGCUGCAGAACCACCUCGUUGAUUUCAAAUUGCUGCAAAGUCUAUUGACCUUCUUGUUGGACAGAGCAGAAGUGUUAGUUUUUGCCUAUGCAUACGGUAACAAAAAUGGUACGUAAUUUCUUUUGUAAAUCAAUCCAUAUUACAGUACAAAAAACUGGUUAAAAUUGUUGAGCUUUUUCGACCCUUUUAUGGUUUCUUUGCAUAAUGCAUAUGUUAGUAUCUUAUAAUACUUGUGAAAUUUGCCUAAACACCGCCUACCAUGCAAUUAUUGAGAUUUUCCUAAACACCUUCUAGCAUAUGAUCUUAUUUCCUCCAUCAUAUAUCUCGAUCUUAUUUAUUAUGUUUUGAUUCUUUAUUGAUUAAUACUAUUGGUUCAUUUUUUAUCUUCUUCUUACAGUUUGUCCGUGUUAUUAUACGCCUCUGUCCUUUCUUUUCUUUGCUCUUCUUUUCACGAUGUGUAUGAUCGACCUGUUUGCUUCUUCUUUUCUCUUUUCUUUUGUUCUCGAUUUUUUUCUUCUCUUGCUUCUUUGUCCUCAAUCGUCGCCUUCAAUUGCUGAAUCGCCGUUGAAUAUUUCUCGAUUUUGCUUCCAGUUUUUGUUCUUCUCUGUGGGUGCAAGUUCCCGGGUCUGAAUUGGAUUUCCUACAAUCUUGUCAUUGGAUUUUUUUUUAAAAAUCAUUGAUUCUGUCAUGGUUAAUACAAGUCAUCUAUUUGUAUAGAACAUGCAGCCAUUUUUUCAUCUAUUUAACGAAUAUUGGAUUGCUAUUCUAUUUAUAUAUGCAUAUCACUACAAGAAAAAAUGGUUUUAGUGACGAUUUGUUAUGGUUGCUAAAAGUAAGAAAAUGGUUGCUAAAACUUAUAGCGACCAAAUUAGGCUUGGUCACUCGUGGUCACAACAGGGUGGCUACUAAAAGUAUCAGUGACGAGCAAAUCAGUUGGACGCUACAUACAUAGAUUUAACGACCAUCCAAUAAUGGUCAUUAAAGAUGGAAUCAUUAGCGACAAAUAUUUGACUCGCUAAUGUUAAAAUUAAUGGUCGCAAUAAUAUUAAUAUGGUUGUUAUAGGUAUAUAUAUAGUGACCAAAUAUUUUUGGUUGAUAAAUGAUAUUCUUUUAGCAACCAAGUAGGUGGUUGCAAUAGAUUUUAUAUGGCCACAAACAUAACAUAUUUUAGUGACCACAUUGCGACCAAUAAAUUUAUUGCUCAAAAUAAUAAUUUAACUACAAGAAUAGCUGGUUGCAAUAAAUUUUUAUUUGUCACAAUAUAUACCUCAAUUUAUGUGCAUAUAAUAAAUUUAUUGCUGCUAAAAAAAAAAGACCAAAUAACAAUUGUAAGGAAAAAUAAUUAAAAUUGAUAGCUAGUUUGUACAAAUUAGUAAGUAGCUAAGUAAUUGUUGACAAGUCAAUUAAAUCAGUGAUUAAUACAUAUACAGGAGAAAUCAAACACUGUCUUGCAUACUAGUUGAACUAAACACCGUAAUGACAACAUUCACAUCUGGAACUUGAUUGAAGUAACAUUAUGAGAUUCAACUGCCUCUCUGCCUCUCUUUGGGUGCCUGAAAUUGGAUGCCACAAAGAAUCAGAAGACAUACAUGCAAUAGUUUUCCCAAUGUACUGAUCAUAUAAGCAAAAAACACAACAAGGAAAAUCUUAUGGAAUUAAUCGAUUUACCUUAUCAGUAGAGCCACUAACUAAACUUUACCCUCAAUUGCAAAUUUGGCACUUAAAAUUUAUAACCUACGUAAGAGAUGAAAAUAGGGAUCCAAGUUUAUGAGAAACCAAGUUCAACGAAUUUAUCAUAAAGAAACAUGAAAUGAAAUAUGCAUAUGAUGCACCAGUUUUACCUUGUUUAAAUGCACCAGUUACUACCUGACCUUCUGCAGGUCUGUCAAACAUAACAACUUGUUAAUCAGAUCCAAUAAAUAUAAUGGCAAUUACAUCCUGAAAUAAUUAUAGAAAAGCAAUAUAAUAGCUAGCAUAAAUGUAAACUUAGAUUUUCCAGCUAUAUGUAAGACAUGAACAUAUACCUUUUGUAUGUCAAUUUCUGUUUGGGGUGGAAAACAAACUUGAAUUGAACACAAUGCCAUUUAAUAAUCUGAACAGCCAUAGCUAUUCUUACCAAAGAAAAUGUGAUCCCAAUUCAAGUUGUUAAUAAGAGGUCAGGACUCGACCGGCCUUUAUCUAAGAAGUCGAGGGAAAUACACUAUUUAUUUAAUAACAUUUUUUGGAUUACCUUAGUCGUAAAAGAAAAGUGCAAAAUAAAAGAAUUAUGUUGUUUCUCAUGUUAUCCUAUUAUUCACGAGUAACUAUUCCACUUACCUCUUAUGAAUCAAGUGCGGGGAUUGCAAGUAGAAGAUAAGAUACAAUAAUAUGUUCCCUGCUCAUCCGUGGUUCUAAAUCCAUUAACCUUUGCUCCAGACAUUGUAUUCGGGAAUGCAGUGCCGCCUCAAACUACCUAAAAGAAUUUCACAAUGUAUAUAUGUUAGGCUCUUUUAAAGUAAUGAGCUAUAAUAUCCGAAAAGAAACAUCAACGUUGGUAGUGAACAUCAAUGACUGCAAAUGUGGAGGACAACAAACCUCAAGCACAAAUGGCAUCCAUGGCCUCCAUUCAUGUUUUUCGGAUUUUAACUGGGUAACAUUCUAUCUAUAAAAACUCUUCCCCUUUAUUGUUAGUAACCCAUCACCAAAUAUAAAAACUUCUCCUUUUUUACUGUUAGUAACCCAUAACCAAAUAUUAGUUCAUUGACAAUAUGUGAGAAAUAUGUACCCAAUUAAUAACAAAGAUAUAUAUUUAAUGCAAUAAACAAAAAUCUCAACCAAAUAUUUCAAUUUUAUCCAAUGUUUAAGAGCCCAACAAAUAAGAAGUCAGAUUCAAUCUAAAAAAUCUCAAUUAAGAAUUCAAUUUUAAGUCGUUUAUAAUGAUAAAAUAAAUUCCAAAACGAAUAUAAAUAUGAAUAAACUAUAUAAUUUCUUGUUUCCGAUUUCAAGAUUUGGGAUUACUGAGAAACCUGAGAAAUCAUGAAGAAAUUGUGCUUAAGUGGUCGACAACAAGGCCGACGGGGGCUGUAGAGACGACGCGAGAUGAGGUGAGGGUUCAUGAUAGUUAUCUUCAUAUACUAUGCGAUGGAUCGAGGGUCGAUUACUGAGCGAUCGAUAGACGGAGCCGAUUAUCAAGGGAUGAAUCGAUUGAGCCGAUUAUGGGUCGAGGGAGGCUGUAAAACCUAAAACCGAAGAAUGGAUCUGAUAUACAAUUGUAAGAAAGAGGGGUUUUCUUUUUUUUUUUUGGAUGGAAAAGAGAGAGGGGUUUUCAAUCCCGUAUAAACUAUUAUUAUAUAAAAUACAUUAAUACAAAUUUGCACAUGUAUUUCAUUAUAAAAAAAAACUAUUAUUAUAUAAAAUACAUUAAUACAAAUUUGCACAUGUAUUUUAUUAUAAAAAAAAUCUACAUCAUACCUUGCGUAUUUAUUAAAAAUAAGAACCUAUAAAUAAAAUUAAAUAUAUUUUGAAAAGUACAAAUACUGGGUUAGUGUAUUAUUAUUUUGUUAAGAAAUAAAUUUUGGAAUUAGGAUUUUCAUAUAUUAAUUAGUUUAAAUAAAUUUUAAAAAUUUCAAAUGGUUGCUUUUAGAAAACUAUUAGCAGCCAAAAUAAUUCCGUUAAUGUUCACUCCAAAAAUUUAUAGCAACCAUUAAUCAUUUUGUUAUCAAAUUAGUCGCUAUUAAUAUUAUUUACAGUGACCAUUAAAUGAAGGUCGCUAAAGAGUAGAGAUUUGGUCACUAUAUAACUACUCAACUCUGGACAAAUUAUAGUGACCAUUUAUAGCUACCAAAUAUUAGUUGGUUGCAAAACAAAUACGUAAAUUGACUAUUGCAACCAAAUUAGUACUGGUCGUUAUAUGCAUAUAUGCAGUGACCAUUUUCUGAUCAUCGCUGAAAAAUUGGUUGCUAAAGCUAGUUUUUCUUGUAGUGUAUGUUUUUCAAGAUAAAAGACCAUUAGAUUGGCAUAAGAGAAUGAAGGUAGCUUGCGGUCUUGGGCUUCAGUUUUUACACGACAAGGCGAAUUCACCAAUGAUGAACCUCGUACCGAACUCAUCAAAAACUUUCCUUCACUUUUGUUAUAUAUACGUUCUGAAUGCAAACAUUUGACAGUUAAGAUCGCAAUUUAUUGUUAGAUCUUUCGGACUUCUUUAAUUCGAAAACCUGUACAUUAUUCCUUCUGCCGAACAAUCAUUGCCAAACAAUCUUUUACUGCUUGACAUAAAAUAAUCUUUUAAUAUCGGACAUGAAUAGUCGGGAAUAGACAUCACGCAGGGCACCGCGCCUUGCGCGGUGCUCGUUACUAGUACAUAUAUAUAUAUAUAUAUAUAUAUAUAUAUAUAUAUAUAUAUAUAUAUAUAUAUAUAUAAUCCCUAAAUUUAAUAUAAGAAGGAAAUAUCUAAUGAAAGGACUCCCCAUAUAUGUUGUCAGGCCAUGUGAACAAGUUAUGGAGCACGUUCUUAGCAAUUACUCAAUCAAUGCUUGGAAAAUAAAUAAUGCCAAUUAUUAUCUCAGGAUAAAAUUAAAAUACUAGGUAAAAGAAAAAAAAACUUCAAGUGUAGACAAUGACAAUAGCCCUUUGGCUUUUGGUAAAAGACACAAGAAGAAAGUGAUACGUACCAGAAACUAUACAUAAAUAAUUAUUUUAUUUUAUUUGAUGAUAGCCUAGCUUUCAUAUUAUUGAUGUCGUUUUCGUUUUCUUGUAAUUCGCAUGGUUUUUUCUUCGACUAGCUAGGCCAUUAUACAUUAUGAUUAAAUGAAUGUUUGAUGAACAAUAAAAUAAAAUUGGGCAAAUUACGGCCACCCCCAGAAGUAAGGUCAAAUUACGAAAAAAUCCUAAUGUUUGGGUAAUUACAACCACCCUUUAACUAUGAUUGUUCUUACACGUCCACCCUUACGGUGUCAAAUUCAAUAGAAUGUAAAAGAUUCUGUGAAAUGUUCUCUAGUUUGUACUCAUUUUGUGCAAAAAGACAGUUUUAGAUGCACCACAAUCUGAUAUUUACAAGUCAAGAGACAUAUCUUAUGAUCAUCUUGUUUUAAAAUGUGGAUCUAGAAUAAGAUAAAACGGGUACAGACGGAAGAAUAUUCCACUAGAACAUUACAAUAAAUUUGACACCGUAAGGGUGGACGUGUAAGAAAAUGGAAAAGUACAGUUUGCACCCCUGAACUAUGGAGUCUGUCACAAACACCUCCCUAUACUACAAAACGUAACAAAAAGACCCCUCCGUUUUUAAACCGUUUGUAAUGUGGUGAUGUGGCAGUUGACCCUCUCUUAUUUCAUUAUUUUGACAUUUUUACCCUUCACUUUGCUAUAUCUAUAUGAAUAAAAAGAUAUUUACAUUUUCAGUAUAAAGAUAUAUUUUUUCACCCCAAACUUAAAAUUGUAAAUAAGCAAAAUACUUAAAUUUAAAUUGAUUAUGUAUUCCAAUUUUAAUAAUUAUUUUAUUUCAUCCCAAAAUGUUUUAUAUCAUUAACUUAUUAAUAUAGUAACAUAUUCAAUUUAAUUAAUACAUAAACAAAAAAAAUCAGAAGAAUAAAUAUUUUUUUUAGUUGGAGCAUAUAAAUUUUCUAACAAUAACUUAUUACUCAAUUGAAAAUUUCCUCAAAUUCAAAAAACUUAAGCUCAAACAAAAGACCAUAAAUGAUUAAAGUAAAUUAAAUAUAAAAUAUAACAAAUUAAUUACAGAAUAAAUCAACCCUUGCAUUCAAAUACAGUUCACAUUUCGGCCACUCCAAUCAAGAAGCAAGAUUUAACCCAAAUACAAUCAACCUAACAUUGCUUUAAAAUUUAACAAACCCACUACUUCCUCUGGCCAAGGAUGAAAAAAUAGUACGUCGUUGCAAGAAAAAAGGUCCGGCGAGCAGGGCCACGGCUACACGAAGUCGAAAACGACGGAGGAGUGAAUUGGGUGAAACCGUAACGGAAAAAGAAGCUUGAGAGGGAUGAAACAACAUAGGGAGAGGAAGGGGAGAAAAAACCUCUGCCGGAAAAUAUUUUCGCCGGAACGAAUGGCAUGGAAAAUCGAGAACUUAAUCCCUAUUAGAGGGAUGAGAGAAGUAUGGGAAAUGAGGAAGAAAAUACAUAGUUAAGAGGUGGUUGUAAUUAGCCAAACAAUAUGAACUUUUUCGUAAUUUCAUAUGUACCUCAGGAUGUGACCGUAAUUUACCCAAAAAUAAAAUAAAUUCAACCUUUUUGCAUUGCAAGAAGAAAAGCAACAAGAAGGCACAACAAGAAGGAUGUUUGAUCAAAAAGUUUAAAGGGAAAAAAUGGACUUUAAAUUUAACCAAAAAGCUCAUAUAAAUAUCUGGUUUAUUGGUAGUAAUAAAGUAGAACAGUGUAAUCUCUCUCUAGUUCAAAUCAAAGUGUUAUUACAAAAUGACAACAGAAAUUUGUGGUUAAGAUAUCUUAUCCCCUAAUAAUAAUAAAGACUGAAUUUUUAUUUUAUUUUUAAAUAUAAAUAAAAAAAUGGGCAUGUUUACACAAUCACCAAAUUAAGAACACUAAUUAAUUCAAAGCUCCAAACAUAUAUAGAUUAAUUAAUGAUUUCUAAUAGGUAUCAGAUUUUCAUAGAUUCAAUAAAUAAAAAUCAACAAUUAAAUUCAAAUUGUUUUUUAUUCUGACUUGAAUAGGGCUGAGUUUUCUGAUGUAAAACAUCUCGGCAGAUUCAGGAACGCCCCAAUAUUUCUGCCCAUCCUUCUGCACGCGCGUGAAUCCCUAAUGCAGGACUCGAUUUUGCCCCAGUAACUAUCACUCGCGACCCGAUUCGAGAGCCAACUCGAGUAGUCCUAGAGGGAGUAGUCGAGGUAGGCCCGGUUCAUCACGGGUUGGCCGGAACCCUUGCCGGUGACGGCGUAGGCGAAGAUGACGAAGCCGAGUAGGGUGGCAAUGAUGAUGAACAUGGCCCACUGGUAGAGGUACAUGAGGAAGUUGUUCCGGUAGCAGGCGCCGGCGAAUCCGGCGAGGGAGACGACCAUGAUGGACACGCCGAUUAUUAUGAGCGGCCACUGGAGGAACUUUAGGCAGUCGGUGUUGUUCGCGCGGCUGCUCAGCCAUAUUCCGCCGCCGACGAUGGGGAUCGAUAGGACGAAGGUGAGGAAGAUCAGGGCGCCUAUUAGGUGGUUGCUCGUUCUCAUGGCGGCGGCGGUGGCGGUGGCGGUGGUUGAAAGUUUUUUGAAAUUUAAUUUUGUCUUACAAGAGAGAGAGAGAGAGUACUGCUGUAUUUAUUGGGGAGCAGAUAUAUAAUGG